rnacentral:rRNA from 1 species
CCUACGGGAGGCAGCAGUGGGGAAUUUUGGACAAUGGGCGCAAGCCUGAUCCAGCAAUGCCGCGUGCAGGAUGAAGGCCUUCGGGUUGUAAACUGCUUUUGUACGGAACGAAAAAGUCUGCCCUAAUACGGUGGGCCCAUGACGGUACCGUAAGAAUAAGCACCGGCUAACUACGUGCCAGCAGCCGCGGUAAUACGUAGGGUGCGAGCGUUAAUCGGAAUUACUGGGCGUAAAGCGUGCGCAGGCGGUUAUAUAAGACAGAUGUGAAAUCCCCGGGCUCAACCUGGGACCUGCAUUUGUGACUGUAUAGCUAGAGUACGGUAGAGGGGGAUGGAAUUCCGCGUGUAGCAGUGAAAUGCGUAGAUAUGCGGAGGAACACCGAUGGCGAAGGCAAUCCCCUGGACCUGUACUGACGCUCAUGCACGAAAGCGUGGGGAGCAAACAGGAUUAGAUACCCUGGUAGUCCACGCCCUAAACGAUGUCAACUGGUUGUUGGGUCUUCACUGACUCAGUAACGAAGCUAACGCGUGAAGUUGACCGCCUGGGGAGUACGGCCGCAAGGUUGAAACUCAAAANAGAGUAGACGCGUGAGACGUAGACCGACGGACGACGACGAGGGGAGGAGG